rnacentral:lncRNA from 1 species
CCAAAGCUUGAACUAGGCUCAGUUCCUCCUCAAAUCGACACCUUAAUCAAAAUCAACCCAAAACCAUCAAAAUGCCUUUUCACUUAAGGUUGCUUCCCUUCUACCACUUAGGAUGCACAAAGAAUGACCAUAAAGCAGUGAAAAUGACGGUGGACAGAAAGAUCAUGAGGGGAAAUACAAGGGUCUCAUGCAGAGAGUAGAGAGGCAGAGAGAGACUGAAACUGUAUGGAACAAGAAAGGGGCGCCCUAGAAUAAAUAGUUAGAAUUAGGUCACAGCAAUGGUUCAAGCCCAGUUAAGGAUUUAAGUGGCAUUUGAGUAGGUUUCGUCUAUAAGAUGUCCAAAUAAGUAAAGACAGGUCAUGAGUAACACUAAUUAAAUUAAGCUACUUCAAAUGGUCCAAACAAAUUAGGGUCGGGUCAAUUUCAUUUUGAUACCGAUUUGUCGUUUAGUCAUUAAGUUGAUGUUGUCGAGAAAGUUACCUAGUUAACAUCAUUGUCCGAGAAGGUCAUUUGACAACAGUUUGCGUAACAUAUCUAUACAUUGACCCCCAACUGGACUAGGGAUCCACUUAUUGAACUCGUGAUUCAAUGUCACUGUAACUUAGCGAAGUCAAUAUCUGGGUUGAAUUUGAUAACUAUCACUUUCAUAGAAAAUUUCCAUUUUUACUUCUUACCUUUUAGUAUUUCUAUGAUUGCAAGUAAAUUUUUUUAGGAAGUUCAUCAAAAUAGUAUCUGAUACGGACAACAAAAAAUAACUACAAAAAUUAUCAUAGUUACAUAAAGCAUUUUGUCAAUGGGUUCAUAAAUGUUGAAAAUACAGGGAAAGACUUGACAUACCUAAAUAAUUCUUUCAGAAAAUUUUCACUUUUACUUCUAUCCAUUAGUAUUUCUGUAGUUGCAAGUAAACGUACCAGUUUUUGGAAGCAUA